UACGUAGGGGGCAAGCGUUGUCCGGAUUUAUUGGGCGUAAAGAGCGUGUAGGCGGCUUUACAGGUCCGUUGUGAAAACUCGAGGCUCAACCUCGAGACGCCGGUGGAAACCGUAAGGCUAGAGUCCGGAAGAGGAGAGUGGAAUUCCUGGUGUAGCGGUGAAAUGCGCAGAUAUCAGGAGGAACACCCGUGGCGAAAGCGGCUCUCUGGGACGGUACUGACGCUGAGGAACGAAGGCCAGGGGAGCAAACGGG
rnacentral:rRNA from 1 species